rnacentral:rRNA from 1 species
CCUACGGGGAGCAGCAGUGAGGAAUAUUGGUCAAUGGACGGAAGUCUGAACCAGCCAUGCCGCGUGCAGGAAGACGGCUCUAUGAGUUGUAAACUGCUUUUGUACAAGGGUAAACCUGAAUACGUGUAUUCAGCUGAAAGUACUGUACGAAUAAGGAUCGGCUAACUCCGUGCCAGCAGCCGCGGUAAUACGGAGGAUCCAAGCGUUAUCCGGAUUUAUUGGGUUUAAAGGGUGCGUAGGCGGGUUGAUAAGUUAGAGGGGAAAUGUCCGAGCUUAACUCGGGAACUGCCUCUAAUACUGUUGAUCUAGAGAGUAGAUGCGGUAGGCGGAAUGUAUGGUGUAGCGGUGAAAUGCUUAGAGAUCAUACAGAACACCGAUUGCGAAGGCAGCUUACCAAUCUAUAUCUGACGUUGAGGCACGAAAGCGUGGGGAGCAAACAGGAUUAGAUACCCGAGUAGUC